rnacentral:rRNA from 1 species
GACAGAGGCCCCAAGCGUUAGGCGGAAUCACUGGGCUUAAAGCGUGUGUAGGCGGACGCCUAAGUGUCUUGUGAAAUCCCACGGCUCACCCGUGGAACUGCUGGGCAUACUGGGCGUCUUGGGCCAACUAGGGGCAGCCGGAACAAGCGGUGGAGCGGUGAAAUGCGCAGAUAUCAGGAGGAACACCGGUGGCGAAGGCGGGUCUCUGGGCCGAUACUGACGCUGAGGAGCGAAAGCGUGGGGAGCGAACAGG